UGUUCUGUGGCUUAGUUGGCUAAAGCGCCGGUCUAGCGAAUACGGAGUCGUGGGUUCGAAUCCCACCAGAACGC
rfam:Aedes albopictus isolate Foshan contig99474, whole genome shotgun sequence.